rnacentral:rRNA from 1 species
AACGAACGCUGGCGGCAUGCCUAACACAUGCAAGUCGAACGAGACCUUCGGGUCUAGUGGCGCACGGGUGCGUAACGCGUGGGAACCUGCCCUUAGGUUCGGAAUAACUCCCCGAAAGGGGUGCUAAUACCGGAUAAUGUCUUCGGACCAAAGAUUUAUCGCCUUUGGAUGGGCCCGCGUUGGAUUAGCUAGUUGGUAGGGUAAAAGCCUACCAAGGCGACGAUCCAUAGCUGGCCUGAGAGGAUGAUCAGCCACACUGGGACGGAGACACGGCCCAGACUCCUACGGGAGGCAGCAGUGGGGAAUAUUGGACAAUGGGCGAAAGCCUGAUCCAGCAAUGCCGCGUGAGUGAUGAAGGCCUUAGGGUUGUAAAGCUCUUUUACCCGGGAUGAUAAUGACAGUACCGGGAGAAUAAGCUCCGGCUAACUCCGUG